AGCGGACCCUCUUGAAGGGGAGACUCCUGAGUUCAGGAGAAUAAGGAGAAGGUGACCGGAGGUAGAGCGUAGGAUGGGGACGCCUCUCCUGGAAUCCAGUCCCAGACCAGGCUGCGCGAUCACGGGAAGGGACGGAGCGGGGGCGGAGGCAGCAGAAAGGAUCCGGAGUCCCAUUUGACCAGCCGUGGGGCCAGGCUCCAGAUUUGCCCUCCCCGAGGCCGGCAGAGGGCGCUGCCGCACGCGCAUGGAGUUUCACUACUGUCAGCUCUGCCUACAAACACUUGCAGAGGCUUUCCUUCUUCAGAAACCUUGGCGGCUCGGCCGCGGCUUGCUGUCUGAUGCAACAGUUUGCAACGCGGGUUCAGGGAGUGGAGGCCUGCGGUGCGGCACACAAGCUCGGCCGAAGCGCAUGCGCAGGCUGCGCCUUGCCCCGCCCCGCGGCGGGAAGCUUUUCUCCAGAUGUGCGGGGCGGGGAUGGGGGCGGAGCCAGAGGCGCAGAGACCUUUGGCAGCUCGCGCCUGCGAUCUGAGCUGAAUUAGACUUCGGAGGCAUUGGCUGACUGACCCAGUGAUCCAAAAAAAAAAAAAAAAAUCAGAGAGGCCGAAAUCGCCACAAACGUGCCUGGAGAGAGAAGUUGAAGAGCUAGCUGGCUUUUGAGUCGGCCUCCCUUUCCGAGCCUCCGGAUCUCUGAUGCUGUACCACCUGAACAUUUUAUUUGUGGGAGGGGACAAGUCACGUCAAUAUGUUCACAAAAAUUGCAGCUAUCACGAUUGUCUCCCAUAUUCACAUUGGUCCUGUAUUUUAGAUUUUAAUUGACUUUUAUUUUAUUAACUGUUUCUCUAAAUUAACUUUAAAUUGAUUCCCUUUUUUAUGUAUCCUUGCCUUAAGCGAUAACAUUAGAGAAACCACAGACUGAAAAUAAACUCAGAAUUACUGUCUCGAAAAACCAAAGAAAAAAAAUUGUUUUCUUGUUAGCUAAAAUUGGCUUACCUACCAUAUCGGGGGUGUCUAGCAGUAAUAAUAACCAUUGUAUUAAGGCUUUGUCAACAUUCCCAGGACUAGUCUAAACACUGAACACAUUCUAUUGCUUCAUGAUGCCCUAGGAAGUGUUUGUUUUCUACAUUUUUACAAGGAAAGGAAGGCCCAGAGAAGUUAAGAAAUUUGCCUGAGAUCACAGAGCCAGGAGGCAAACUCCAUUAGCCUGAUUCCAG
rnacentral:lncRNA from 1 species